rnacentral:rRNA from 1 species
GAUGAACGCUAGCUACAGGCUUAACACAUGCGAGUCGCGGGGCAGCAGGGGGGUUGCUUGCAAUCCCCGAUGGCGACCGGCGCACGGGUGAGUAACGCGUAUCCAACCUGCCCUUCACCACGGGAUAACCCGGCGAAAGUCGGACUAAUACCGUAUGUUGUCCAUUGACGGCAUCCGAUUUGGACGAAAGGUUUGGCGGUGAAGGAUGGGGAUGCGUCCGAUUAGCUGGACGGCGGGGUGACGGCCCACCGUGGCGACGAUCGGGAGGGGUUCUGAGAGGAAGGUCCCCCACACUGGACCUGAGACACGGUCCAGACUCCUACGGGAGGCAGCAGUGAGGAAUAUUGGUCAAUGGGCGUAAGCCUGAACCAGCCAAGUAGCGUGCAGGAUGACGGCCCUAUGGGUUGUAAACUGCUUUUAUGCGGGGAUAAAGUGGCCCACGUGUGGGUUUUUGCAGGUACCGCAUGAAUAAGGACCGGCUAAUUCCGUG